rnacentral:rRNA from 1 species
AACGAACGCUGGCGGCAGGCUUAACACAUGCAAGUCGAACGCAUCCUUCGGGAUGAGUGGCAGACGGGUGAGUAACACGUGGGAACCUACCCAAAGGUACGGAAUAACACAGGGAAACUUGUGCUAAUACCGUAUGUGCCCUUCGGGGGAAAGAUUUAUCGCCUUUGGAUGGGCCCGCGUCGGAUUAGCUAGUUGGUGGGGUAAUGGCCUACCAAGGCGACGAUCCGUAGCUGGUCUGAGAGGAUGAUCAGCCACACUGGGACUGAGACACGGCCCAGACUCCUACGGGAGGCAGCAGUGGGGAAUAUUGGACAAUGGGCGCAAGCCUGAUCCAGCCAUGCCGCGUGAGUGAUGAAGGCCUUAGGGUUGUAAAGCUCUUUCAGCUGGGAAGAUAAUGACGGUACCAGCAGAAGAAGCCCCGGCUAACUUCGUGCCAGCAGCCGCGGUAAUACGAAGGGGGCUAGCGUUGUUCGGAAUCACUGGGCGUAAAGCGCACGUAGGC